ACCCCUUCUGACUCGCUCUGUUUCUGUCUUGUCUAGGAAUCUCUUUGCUGGCUGCCGGUAGGGCUUCCAGGUCUCAGGCAGAGGGAGGACAUUUCACAUAAGCGGAAGGUGUGACCUACGCUUCGUGUCGCAGGAAUUGGGGGAACACCUGUGCAGGUGGGCCUGGGGCCUGGUGAGGGUCUGCCUGUCUCUCACUGGCCCUGUGCUACUCUCUGCUCCCAGACCCAGUUUUGUGGACCAAAGCCAGAAGCUCCCCGGAGGGUGCGAGGGUUCCUAUGUGCUAGCGGACAUUUUGGUUGGUCUGCGGCAUAUUCGGAGAUGCUCUGCUGCACACAAGCUGCCAGACAGGUUGGCCAUCGCCAUUACGAGCUCUGCCGAUCUCCUGAGAUUCCCAUGCUUGUCAAAUAGGGGUUUCUGCUUUCUUUGUGUGAUGGUGUCUGUCUUAGGUAGCAUAAAAUUGGGAUGGAAGCUGAUGCUGCCUGCAGUGGCUGACAUGGGGCCAAACGCUUUAUGCCAGAUGCUUUGCUGACAAAGCAGCCUGCAUGGAUAGAUGAGCCGAAUGGAUAACUGAAACCCGCCUCUCUGCGGUGUGCUCUCAGUUCCAAAGGACAGCAAACCUUUCAUGCAGAUUAGAUGCGUUUUAUGUUGUGCACCGCAUUUGUAUCCCGCCUUUCGAGAGGACACCUUGUGUCCUCCAGACACAUUUGGACCACAGCACCCAGGAUUCCCACUCAAUAGCACUGUUGGGUGGGAAUUCUGGGAGUUGUGGUCCAAAUGCCUCUGAAGGCCAGCCAGCAGGUUGGGGAAGGCUGCUAUAGGGAACUCAAAGCAGCUUUUGUAAGGUUGACUAGCCAGACAAAUGCAAGUGUGUCAGCUGGGUUCCCACAGUGCAAUCUUGUGUUUUAGUCACACGGUUGCACUUCUGAUUGAUAAAGAGAUCUGGAGUAUCAUGGUCUGAAAGCUGUUUCUCAGCAUUAGUCUUAAGUAUGUCACAAAUGUUUUGAGAAGUGCCGCUGGCAGGCUCCGUUGCUGAGUGCAGGGAAAGCUGUGUGCCAGGGACGAGCAAGGUGGUUGGCAGGUGCGGCAAGGAAUCACAUAACUGGCAUGUAGCUUGCUGGACAGUGUGUUCUCUUGCCAGCCUUCAGACUUACACAUAAAUUAGAAGCUUUAGUAGUGAUGAAGAGCCUGUUGCUUGUUGCAACAUCAGAGGGUAUUCCCUGAGAUUCUUAAUAAAGAUGAAUUAGGGAUUAUCACAUUUCAUCAUCAUUUCACCCACAGAAAAGGGUUCUUUAGAGCUACUUCUUCCCCUUUGUUUGUGAUAGUUGAAAAACUAAUUGCUGGAUUGACAGAGUGAUGAUGAUAAAUUUGGAUUAUUUCUUUUCAAAUGCCUUUGAAGAAUUUAGUGACACUCCAAGCUACAUUCAUGAGCAAAUGUUUCAAGCUAAUUAAUCUGGAAUAAAAAGCUUGGCUUAACAUCUUUUCAGAGCCUGGGAACCUCCAUCCAGUCCGAUUGUAUAACGGAAAGUUGGCUAUGUGUUAUAAAUUUAGAUUAUUCAUGCAAGUGUUUUUGGGAACGGGAACAAGAAUAGAUGAUACAACAUGCCCUAGAAGGGCAGGACAGGAGGACUGAUUAGCCAUUCCCUGUCCCUGUAUAAACACAUUCCUGUACUGCUCUCCGUGUUCUCCCUCUGCAUUUCACCUGGGAACCAAAGUAGAGUCUCUCCGCUAUGGUGCUUUCAUCUCACUCCUCCGUUGGGAAGCUCAAGCACAGGUCACAUGGAGCUUGUGAUCCAGGCAGUGGUCAGGUUCAUGCCUGUCUAGCUUUCGUGAUGCUCUGUGAUCAGGUGCUUCCAGCCCAUGGGCCUUUCCUGUAAUUCCAUACAUUGCAGUUUCUCACCUUGGCCAGUUUAAACAUUUAAUGGCUGCCUAUGGAAAGUGGAGCUUUGAGCUCAACAACAGCCUGAGGAAGUCCGAAAUAAGUCUCUGGUUGAGAAUAGUGAGGUUAUUAUGGUUAACAUGACCCCAUUUGAUUCCUUGCCAUCCGACUCAAGCACGCUUUGUGUAAUUAAGGGGUAAUUUUUACACAUUGCUUAUUCAUUUAAUUGAAGUUUGCAGGAUAUGCUGAUAUUGCAUCUAUGAAAUCUCCUGCAUCAGUUAAACGAGGAACUGUUCUUGACAGUUAUCGUUGGCAUUAAACAAAUAAAGAGUAAUUAGAUGCCUAUUCAGUGAUUGCUUCUGUUGGCAAUACUGAAGUCAUAUUUGCUGUUGAUUGUUAGCUAAGAUGAUGCCUUAAUGUUGCCAAGGGUGCUGUUGUUUUUUUUAAACCCCACUGAAAUUUCUAGGCACCAGUUUCGCAGCUGCAGAAUGAUCAUUUGCCUGCACAUAAAAUGUAUAAUGAGAAUGCAUUAGCUGUUCAUCUGGCUCAACUGCAGACAUGUGACCCUAGAGAUAGUUUUGAGUGCCUGCCCAUAGGUAAAGCAGGUACAGUCAUAGGUGAAAGCAGAAGGUGUUCGCUGCUAAACAAUAGACCUUCACCAUGGAGUAACCCCAGAGAGGGAGCUCCGCAUCCUGCACGGAUGGCAGGUCGGUUCCUCACAGGAUUGCUGGCUGGCCAAGACCAGCAGAGGCGGCUGCUGCUGUGGUCUGGACAUGCUGGCUGGGAGACUGGGUCAGCACCCGUGUGGCAGCAUGACUGCUGAUCUGGCUGCAUCGUGCCCCUCCACACAUGUAAGGGGGUGUCUGUAGUGUCGACAAGCAAUUUAAAGCAAGCAACCACCCUUCCUGGUGCUAGGUAAUGCGAUGUUCAUUUCCAGUAAGCUUUCAUGCAUAUGCAAGCUAGUGCUGCCUUCUCCCAAUCUUUGUUCCACCCAAUAGCCUGUGCUCCCACAAAAUGUUUCUGAAAAGCACCGGCCAUAGCAAGUAUCCAAGUCCAAGCUUAAAUACCAGCUGUAAAUACCGAAAACUUUUCUAGCCCCAGUAAGGAAGCAAAAUGCAGCCACUGGAGUAUUCUACAGAAUUUUUCAAAAGGGAAAAUGAUUUAAAUGAUAUCUUUUCAACUCAGCUGUCACUUUAUGAGUUCAGUUGUCCUUGCCUUGUACCACCAUCUUUCUGGCAGCACUACUCUGCAGCUGAAUGAAAUCUCAGAAGAGACACUAUCAUUACAGCGGGAUCACCAUCCAAGAAGGAUGCUUGAACUUGGAGUCCUGCAUUGAUCAGGGGUUGGACCCAGUGUUCUUCUUGAUCCCUUUCAGCUCUAGUAUUCUAUGAUUCUCUGACUAGCCCUAGGUGGUCAAGAGAAGUCAGAGGAUGUCAACAGCCUUCCUAAACCCAGGUGGAUGCACCCUCCAGUUGGAGGAACUAAAAUGCUGAACUGGUCCCAGUCCCCUUCUCCUGACCCACCAGGAUCAGUCCCAGGGCCCCAGAAAGAAUUGGCAGUGUGUUCUCGAUGGAGAUCCAGAACUGCAGGCAGAGUGCCUAUCUGGCAGCACUCCAGUUGCUCCUGUCUUCUGCUCGCAAAGAGGAAGAAUGCUCUGAAUGUGGACUCAAGCCAUCAAACCAGAGAGGGUAGGAUCAGAUCAUCACCACAACAUCACCUAUAGAUCAUCACCAGAUCAUCACCUAUAGAUCAUCACCAGAUCAUCACCUAUAGACUGUCUAGUUGAAGGCCACUCAAUCCUGAAACCACAUCUCUUGCUUUGCUCAGUGUUAGACAGCUCUUCUCCUCACCUUAUCGUUAACUUUCUCAUCCUUGACCCACAAGCCUACUCCUGUCUGGCAGAAAAGGAACAGUCCUCCUACCCCCAAUAUAUGCUUUAACUUUCCAGAUUCUUCUGGGGGUUGAGAAGCCAAACACAGAAAAUCCAAAGGCAUGUCUUUUCCUUCCCUCACAGAAAUCCAGUCCAAUGCAAUCCAAUUAAAUCCGUUUGUGCAAGCCUCACUAAAGACGAACCAGAGAAAAUAGUGUGAGCACAGUGUAUUUCUAAGAUGCGUGGGAGCAUCGGGACCUUUUUCUCUUGUUCCACUUUAUUACACUUCAGGGGCUGUUUUGUUGUGAGCCUGAGAUCUGCCAUGCUCUUCCAGUCACGUGUUGUCCUGGAUCGAGCCGCUUGGCGGGUGGGCCACUGGUUCACUAGCAGGCCGCUGCCACUUCAGUAACGAAACCUGCAGGCGGACCGAGCAAACUUUUUACAAGGCAGUAACAGGGCAGUGGGGGAAGUAGGUCAGCAUUGUGCAGGUGCUUUGAUGCCUGCUUAAACUUGAAGCAAAGCCACUGUUUCUGCAGAGAUCAGCAGAAAAGCUUUGCUGUUAGACUGGUGGCCAUGACAGAACAAAGGUUCUGAGUCAGUGCUCCAGACAUGUUGCCUGGAGACGUCUUCUGGGUCUUUGGGACACCUUUUUAAAAUUCCCUGAUUUUUUAAACUGCCCACUUUUAACAGGAGUGCCUUCCUCACUCCAGCCGAAAAUGAUACCCGUGUUUUUUUUUUUUUAAGCAGGUUAGCAAAUGACAAAAAUAUAAUCCCGCUUCAGCCCUUUUGAACCUAGGUUCUCUCCCUUUUUCCUUCAGACCUGCGUUAUUGUACAUUAGUAUUUCAGCUGGUUCCUCCAUCCGGGUAAAGAAACAAUCUCACCGAAGCUGGUGGUUCAGAUCAGCCUUCCCCUGCCUGGAGGCCUCCAGACUUGCCUGUCCGUGAGCAUCCUGACUGGGAAUGAUGGGGGUUGCAGUCCAACACUUCUGGAAGGUCAUGCAUUGGAGAAGGCCUUCUUCGAUCAUGACAGAAUGUUUUUUGUGUGAAAUGCUUCGGUUGUGUUACAACACCUGUAUGUUAGACGUGGGCCAGUCGUCUUGGGUGAGAGAGCUUUUUCGGCUCCAUGCAGCUGAGCCUUCGAUAUGGAAGCGAGAUCUUUGCAGGUUCAUUGCUUAAUACACCUCCAUGGGCCUCCAGUUGCUCUUCCCAGCCUCUCCGGGGGAAAAGGUUAAUUAAUUUAAUUUCUGCACUGCCCAUUAGCCAAAAUGGCUUCCUGGGUGGGUCACAAAUUCCACUUGGGAACAUUUUGGAGGGAACCAUAUCUAGAAAGAACUAUUGUAAUGCAGUGGAUCUAAAAAUUAAGGUCUAGAUGCUAUUUUGAACAGGCAACUUAGACACCUGUUUAACAGGAAUAAAAAGAGUAAAUACAAAGGGUUCUGUCUGAAAUAAUUGCUAUUUAAAGGAGGAUUAACUUUUCAAAAAAUGAAAUCUGGUCUUUUUAAUAAAAGUACCUGGCUCAUUCAAAAAA